ensembl:snRNA U6 U6 spliceosomal RNA
GCUUGCUUUGGCAAGCACAUACACUAAAAUUAGAAUGAUACAGAGAAAAUUAGUAUGGCCUCUACAGAGAAUAACAUAAAGAGUUACAUAUUUUU